CCUACGGGAGGCAGCAGUGAGGAAUAUUGGUCAAUGGGCGUAAGCCUGAACCAGCCAAGUCGCGUGAGGGAUGAAGGUUCUAUGGAUCGUAAACCUCUUUUAUAAGGGAAUAAAGUGAGGGACGUGUCCCGUUUUGUAUGUACCUUAUGAAUAAGGAUCGGCUAACUCCGUGCCAGCAGCGGCGGUAAUACGGAGGAUCCGAGCGUUAUCCGGAUUUAUUGGGUUUAAAGGGUGCGGAGGCGUCCUUUUAAGUCAGCGGUGAAAUUCUGUGGCUCAACCAUGGAAUUGCCGUUGAAACUGGGAGGCUUGAGUAUGUUUGCGGCAGGCGGAAUGCGUGGGGUAGCGGGGAAAUGCUUAGAUAUCACGCAGAACCCCGAUUGCGAAGGCAGCCUGCCAAGCCAUGACUGACGCUGAUGCACGAAAGCGUGGGGAUCAAACAGGAUUAGAUACCCGAGUAGUC
rnacentral:rRNA from 1 species